GGUGCAAGCGUUGUUCGGAAUUAUUGGGCGUAAAGCGCGUGUAGGCGGCUUUGCAAGUCGGGUGUGAAAGCCCUCGGCUCAACCGAGGAAGUGCGCCCGAAACUGCAGAGCUUGAGUACCGGAGAGGAUGGCGGAAUUCCCCAAGUAGAGGUGAAAUUCGUAGAUAUGGGGAGGAACACCGGUGGCGAAGGCGGCCAUCUGGACGGAUACUGACGCUGAGACGCGAAAGCGUGGGUAGCAAACAGG
rnacentral:rRNA from 1 species